rnacentral:rRNA from 1 species
AUGUACAUGCCUCAUAGCGUUAAUGCAUCAGAUCCCAUUAGAAAUCCGUAGUUAAGUAUGCUCAGGAUAGAGUAGUACUGGGAUGGGUGACCACUCAAGAAGUCCUAUUGUUUUACAUG